UACAGAGGGGGCAAGCGUUAUUCGGAAUUAUUGGGCGUAAAGGGCGCGUAGGCGGCCUACUAAGUCGGACGUGAAAUCCCUCGGCUCAACCGAGGAACUGCGUCCGAUACUGGCAGGCUGGAAUCCGGGAGAGGGAUGUGGAAUUCCAGGUGUAGCGGUGAAAUGCGUAGAUAUCUGGAGGAACACCGGUGGCGAAGGCGGCAUCCUGGACCGGCAUUGACGCUGAGGAGCGAAAGCCAGGGGAGCAAACGGG
rnacentral:rRNA from 1 species